UUGUAACUGAAAAGCGGGUGACCUAGCUGGGACAGAGAGGAGCUGCGAGGGAUCUGGUUAGAAGAAGAGCUCGUUCUGUCUGCCUCCAUGAUCUCACAACCCCUCCAAGGACUCAUCCACCCACCUUGGGCUAAGCAGGCUGUUGGACUCUGAAAGGGAAACCACAGACCAUAGAAGGAGCCCUUUUGUGCUGCUGAUAGAACUGCAGAUUAGCCCUGUUGCAGCUCUGACCACUCCAAUUUAAACUAAAGCUUUACAGCAAGCAGUCCCUAACCCUUACACAAUGGCAGAACUGCACCGGGGUGAGUUAGUCCCUACUCACAAGAAGCUUAACACUUAACUGGAAGAGCUUGUCUUUUGCUUGAGGAUACCAGACCCAAUAUGGAGAUUGAACAGAAGAGCUUGACCUCACCUAUUGGUCUUUUCAAUGCCAAACUCUGUUUGGGCUGUCUAGCUUAAGACACCAGGAACCGGGCCAGAGGUGCCCCCAGUUUUCCGCACCUCACCUGCUCCCACAACACGGAAAUCCGCUGAGGAUGCCCAGCAGCCAGAGAUUCUGAUGUCACAGCACCAGCCGUAUCGUGACCAAAAGUAUAGAAUUAGGAGAAAUUGAAGAAUUAUUACAGUGGAUCAAAAUGAAUUCCUCAUAUUCUCCACACUUCGGCCACCUCAGCAGAAGUGUUCUGUUUAACAUGGAGGGCUGGAUUCGAGCAGUUCUUUUUAGAUUUGUGUUGUUUGCCUUUGCGUUUAUAGAGCAGAGCAGACUGGGAGUUUGCCCUGCAUCUACCAUUCUGAAAAAGCUGCUGCAAAUGAAGGUUCUGAGUAAGAGCUAAUAUGCUCGUCGUUUUGACAGUAUCUGAUGCAAGAGAAGCAGCUCUUUGAAAUGAAAACAGGAUUUUGAUGAGCUAUAUACACAAUCGUAUUUACUGUAGCAUUAUUCACAAUGGCCAAGCUCUGGAAACAACCCACAUACCCAUCAAUGGAUAAAUGGAUAAAAAGAUACAGUACAUAUACACAAUUAUUCAACCAUGAGAAACUAAGAUAUCCUGCCAUUUACAACAACGUGAAUGGACCUUGAGCACAUUAUGCUAAAUGAGUACCGUGUGAUAUCACUUAUAUGAAUCUAUAUAAGUGUCAAACCUGUCAACAAAACAGAGUGAAAUGAUGGUCACCUGGGGAUGGGGAAUGGGGGGCAUAAGAUUGAUUGCGCUUAAGGGAACAAACUUCUAAGAGUAGCAAAUAAGCCACAGAGAUCUAAUGCAUAGUAUAAUGAAUACAGUCAACAAUACUGUACUAUAAUGAUAUAAUAUAAUAAAGUCACCUCAGUAGGAAUCAUAUUAGGUAUAUAUCAACAUGCGAGGUACCUUAAAAUUGCAAUUGUAAUGUCAAAUUUAUCAAAUGAGAUAAAUAAAUAUAAAGGCAUAGUCAGUCAUGAAGGAAUUUUAUUUUAUUCCCUUUGCAUAAAAUUUGACUUUUAUUAAAAAAAGAAGAUAAUAUCCAAGUUAUGCAAGAUGAACAGGUUGUAGAGAUCCCAUGUACAUCAUGCCUAUAAUUAACAAUACACUAUUGUAGACUUAAAAAUUUGUUAAGAGCGUAGAGCUCUUUUUAAAUGUUCUGACCACAACAAUGUAUAUACAUCCGUUUGCAUUAUAGCAAAAUCAAAAGGUCUUUUCACAUUGAUUAUCCAAACAAUAAAAUAUGCAAGUAGAAUAGUAAAAGGAUAUGUAAAGUAAAAAAAUAAAAAAGAAUUGCAACUAUCAUAUGUGUAGAAUAAAUAGUUUGUAAUAUUGAAUAAAGAGAACAAAGUCUCAAAGGUAAGUUAAUACUUUAUGAUUUUAGCAGAAAGCACAAUAUGGAGGGAAUUACAAAAAUCAAAACAAUGGAUUAAAAACCAUUUACUGGGUAUUGAUUUACAUGUAAUGGUUUCUAUUACCUUUAAUAUCACAGUUAAAUACUGUUUUUAGCAACCAAUCUAAUAUAUAGACAGUUUUGGAAACUGUCUAGGCAAAGUCACCUUCCCUUCUGUAUUUAAAAGUACUUUAAUUAUAAAUCAUAUGAUCGGAAAACAGAUGCUAUUUAAGUGCAUUGUAAAAAGGUAAAAUCACUACGUGCAGAAUUGCAUCAGAACUUCACAAAAACGAAACAUAUUCUAUAAUAAAAUAAAGGUUUUUAAAUAUUUUACCAUUGGAUUCAAUUUAAUUAAAUUGUGUUUAUCUAUUUUGCUUUUUCUCCUUACAUGACUAACAAUAUAAU